rnacentral:rRNA from 1 species
AUACGGAGGGUGCGAGCGUUAAUCGGAAUUACAGGGCGUAAAGCGCGCGUAGGCGGCUUGGUCAGUCGGAUGUGAAAGCCCCGGGCUUAACCUGGGAAUUGCACUCGAUACUGCCGAGCUAGAGUAUGGGAGAGGGAAGUGGAAUUUCCGGUGUAGCGGUGAAAUGCGUAGAUAUCGGAAGGAACACCAGUGGCGAAGGCGACUUCCUGGCCCAAUACUGACGCUCAGGUGCGAAAGCGUGGGUAGCGAACAGGAUUAGAAACCCCAGUAGUCC